rnacentral:rRNA from 1 species
GACGAACGCUGGCGGCGUGCUUAACACAUGCAAGUCGAACGGAAAGGCCCAGCUUGCUGGGUACUCGAGUGGCGAACGGGUGAGUAACACGUGGGUGAUCUGCCCUGCACUCUGGGAUAAGCCUGGGAAACUGGGUCUAAUACCGGAUAUGAUCAACUGGCGCAUGGUGGUUGGUGGAAAGCUUUUGCGGUGUGGGAUGGGCCCGCGGCCUAUCAGCUUGUUGGUGGGGUAAUGGCCUACCAAGGCGACGACGGGUAGCCGACCUGAGAGGGUGAUCGGCCACACUGGGACUGAGACACGGCCCAGACUCCUACGGGAGGCAGCAGUGGGGAAUAUUGCACAAUGGGCGCAAGCCUGAUGCAGCGACGCCGCGUGAGGGAUGACGGCCUUCGGGUUGUAAACCUCUUUCACCAGGGACGAAGCGUGAGUGACGGUACUUGGAGAAGAAGCACCGGCCAACUACGUGCCAGCAGCCGCCGUAA